rnacentral:tRNA from 4 species
GGGGCUAUAGCUCAGCUGGGAGAGCGCCUGUUUUGCACGCAGGAGGUCAGCGGUUCGAUCCCGCUUAGCUCCACCA